rnacentral:sRNA from 1 species
UUUUACAUGAAUAAAAAUGGUGUGUA